CAUCGCUUCUAGAAAUUUAAUUAGAAGUCUAUUCUGCCCUAUGCCUAAUUAGGUAAAUGGCCGCGGUAACCUGACCGUGCUAAGGUAGCAUAAUCACUUGCCGUUUAAUUGAUGGCUGGAAUGAACGAAUCUACGAGUGCAAAACUGUCUCUUUUUUACACAUAAAAAUUGAUCUUCAAGUGAAGAAACUUGAAUUACUUAAAAAGACGAAAAGACCCUAUAGAGCUUUAUUUAAAAUUAUAAUUUAUAUAAAGAAAAUUUAGUUGGGGCAACUAGAGAGACCCUAUAACCUCUCUUUAAAAUCAAAUUUGAUCCAAAUUUAUGAUUAAUUGAAAAAGCUACCUUAGGGAUAACAGGCUAAUCCUGUUUGAGAGCCCAUAUUGACAACAGGGCUUGGCACCUCGAUGUUGGCUCAAGGUUACACUCUGAUGCAGCCGUCAGAGAAAGUAGGUUUGUUCACCCUUUAAUUCCUUACGUGAUCUGAGUUCAGACCGGA
rnacentral:rRNA from 1 species